ACGUGGGUAGGUUUCAUAAGGACGCAGAUACCGUGGUUUUAUUAGGACGUAGAUACAGUGGUUUUAUCAGGACGUAGAUACAGUGGUUUUAUAAGGACGUAGAUACAGUGGUUUUAUAAGGACGUAGAUAGAGUGGUUUUAUAAGGACGUAGAUACAGUGGUUUUAUCAGGACGUAGUUAGAGUGGUUUUAUCAGGACGUAGAUACAGUGGUUUUAUUAGGUCGUAGAUACAGUGGUUUUAUAAGAACGUAGAUACAAUUGUUUUAUUAGGCUCCAUCCUUGGACCAGGUGUCCAUCCAAAACGUCGUGAGAACAAAGAGGAGCAGACGUCCCACUGCACCCGUGCCCCCGCCGGCUCCACAGAAGAGGUGCAAACCAAAAGAUUGUGACGUGCAUCCGUCAAUGGAGACCUUCGGUGUGAAACUAGUUUUAAAGCGGAGGCUGUCCAGUGAGGACAAGGAGGAGGCAUACGUCAGGUGGAUGCCGUGUCCAAAAUGGUAUAAUAAUAAUAAUAAUAAUAAUAAUAAUAAUAAUAAAACUUUAUUUAUAUAGCACCUUUCAUGCAAAAGAAUGCAGCUCAAAGUGCUUUACAGCAAAUACAUAAUAUGCACAAAGAAAUUACAUGCACAUAAAAAUAGACAUCAAAGAAACAUAACUCAGAUAUAGUGCAAAAAAAAAAAAUAUAUAUAAUUAAUGCAUGUAGAAAGUUAGUUAUCACAUCUUAUCCACAAACAUUGUGUCA
rnacentral:lncRNA from 1 species